rnacentral:tRNA from 1 species
GGCUCUGUAGUGAAGUUCAUGGUGAGUUGCAAGCUCAUUGAUGUGCACUAGCUGUGCACCGGGGCCU